rnacentral:rRNA from 1 species
UGGGGAAUAUUGGACAAUGGGGGAAACCCUGAUCCAGCGACGUCGCGUGGGUGAUGAAGGUCUUAGGAUUGUAAAACCCUUUUAUAAAAGAAGAUAAUGACUGUAUUUUAUGAAUAAGCCCCGGCUAACUUCGUGCCAGCAGCCGCGGUAAUACGAAGGGGGCAAGCGUUAUUCGGAAUGACUGGGCGUAAAGGGCGUGUAGGUGGAUUUGUACGUUUGAUGUGAAAGUCCUGGGCUUAACCUAGGGAUUGCAUUGAAUACGGCAAGUCUAGAGCGUGAGAGGGGAAAACGGAAUUGCGGGUGUAGAGGUGAAAUUCGUAGAUAUCCGCAGGAACACCAAUGGCGAAGGCAGUUUUCUGGCUCAUGGCUGACACUGAGGCGCGAAAGCGUGGGGAGCAAACAGG